UUGAUGAUGAAGACAUGCCUGAUACUCCUCCUUCUACCACUGUUUCUCUUACUGGUGCUGGUAGUGGUGAAAUUUUCCUUCCUGAGGGUGACCUUUUGGAUCUUGAACCUUAUGAAGGCAUGGAAUUUGAGUCUGAAGAGGCUGCCAAGGCCUUCUACAAUUCAUAUGCCAGGCGUGGGGGGUUUAGUACCCGCGUCAGCUCAUCCAGACGUUCUAGGCGUGAUGGAGCUAUUAUACAGAGGCAAUUUGUCUGUGCCAAAGAAGGGUUUAGGAAUUUGAAUGAGAAGCGCACUAAAGAUAGAGAGAUUAAGCGCCC
rnacentral:misc_RNA from 1 species